CUGAGAGUGGCUUUCCAACCAUUCCUUCUGGUCCCGCCCCCCCUUUAGAAUGAUUCCCAUUUGGGAAUUCCUCUCCAGCUAUCACACUGCCCCUGCAACAAAAUGAUCAACAAGUGCUUACGAAAUUGGAACUGAAGAUUAAGUAAUACUGGAGCAGGUGAAUCAACCAUACUACACACUCUUUCGGCGGCCUUCAUAUUUGGAUGUGGACAUUGAAGGAUUGCUGACCAAUGCCAGAGUCACAGGAAUUGCCUGCUGUGCUUUUGAUCUUCCCAUAUGACUGAAUUUCCUGAAUCAUCGUGUUGCUGUGUGUGCACACAUGUGCACACGUGAAUCUUCUGGCACAUCUCCCAGAAGUGCGAGCGCUGGGACAAAGGAUCCAUUGGUGCUUGCAGAAUGUCAUAUUGAUCGCUUUGGCCUCCUUGGCGCAGAGCCAGACCCUCCAUCUCUCACUUCACAAUGUGGCUGCCAAGUCCACGGGCUUGUCUCCUUGUGACAGCCCUUGGUGCUGCCUCCUGAAGAGCAGAGUGAUUUUUCAGAAACCUUAAAAACAGAACUUCACAUUCU